rnacentral:rRNA from 1 species
AGAGCGGCCGAUGUCUGAUUAGCUAGUUGGUAAGGUAAUGGCUUACCAAGGCGACGAUCAGUAGUUGGUCUGAGAGGACGACCAGCCACACUGGGACUGAGACACGGCCCAGACUCCUACGGGAGGCAGCAGUGGGGAAUUUUGGACAAUGGGCGCAAGCCUGAUCCAGCAAUGCCGCGUGAGUGAAGAAGGCCUUCGGGUUGUAAAGCUCUUUCAGUCGAGAAGAAAAAAUUGUGACUAAUAAUCAUAAUUGAUGACGGUAUCGACAGAAGAAGCACCGGCUAACUACGUGCCAGCAGCCGCGGUAAUACGUAGGGUGCGAGCGUUAAUCGGAAUUACUGGGCGUAAAGGGUGCGCAGGCGGUUUUGUAAGUCAGAUGUGAAAUCCCCGGGCUUAACCUGGGAAU